CUUGAACGCUGGCGGCAGGCUUAACACAUGCAAGUCGAGCGAGCGGCGGACGGGUGAGUAAUGUCUGGGAAACUGCCUGAUGGAGGGGGAUAACUACUGGAAACGGUAGCUAAUACCGCAUACCAUCAGAUGUGCCCAGAUGGGAUUAGCUAGUAGGUGGGGUAAUGGAUCACCUAGGCGACGAUCACUAGCUGGUCUGAGAGGAUGACCAGCCACACUGGAACUGAGACACGGUCCAGACUCCGACGGGAGGCAGCAGUGGGGAAUAUGGCACAAUGGGCGAAAGCCUGAUGCAGCCAUGCCGCGUGUGUGAAGAAGGCCUGCGGGUUGUAAAGCACUGUCAGUGAGGAGGCGGUACUCGCAGAAGAAGCACCGACUAACUCCGUGCCAGCAGCCGCGGUAAUUC
rnacentral:rRNA from 1 species